CGCGUAGGCGGUUCGGUAAGUGGGAUGUGAAAGCCCUGGGCUCAACCUGGGAACUGCAUUCCAAACUGCCGAGCUAGAGUGUGGUAGAGGGAGGUAGAAUUUCCUGUGUAGCGGUGAAAUGCGUAGAUAUAGGAAGGAAUACCAGUGGCGAAGGCGGCCUCCUGGAUCAACACUGACGCUGAGGUGCGAAAGCGUGGGGAGCAAACA
rnacentral:rRNA from 1 species